CCUACGGGAGGCAGCAGUGGGGGAUAUUGGACAAUGGGGGGAACCCUGAUCCAGCGACGCCGCGUGAGUGAAGAAGUAUUUCGGUAUGUAAAGCUCUGUCAGCAGGGAAGAAAGAAAUGACGGUACCUGACCAAGAAGCCCCGGCUAACUACGUGCCAGCAGCCGCGGUAAUACGUAGGGGGCAAGCGUUAUCCGGAAUUACUGGGUGUAAAGGGAGCGUAGACGGUUAAGUAAGUCUGGAGUGAAAGGCCGGGGGCCAACCCCGGGACUGCUCUGGAAACUAUUGAACUUGAGUGCAGGAGAGGUAAGCGGAAUUCCUAGUGUAGCGGUGAAAUGCGUAGAUAUUAGGAGGAACACCAGUGGCGAAGGCGGCUUACUGGACUGUAACUGACGUUGAGGCUCGAAAGCGUGGGGAGCAAACAGGAUUAGAUACCCGUGUAGUC
rnacentral:rRNA from 1 species